GGGGCGGAUGUAGCCAAGUGGAUUAAGGCAGGGGA
rnacentral:tRNA from 1 species